rnacentral:lncRNA from 1 species
UUUAGCUGGUCAUACACACUGACACACACAUUUCUAUUUUAGUCUGAUAGAAGCCAAUACUCAAGUUAGGAACUCUGGGUUUUAAUUUGUAAACCUGUGUGAUCUUGGGUUUUGGAAGCACUUAGACCUUCUGCUGCUACAUCACUUGAUCCUGGGACCAGAGGCAGUAGAAAUAGGCUGUGGACACAAGCCACAAAGAGCUCCAUGAAGAGAGUAAAACUCUAACAUCUACAUCAAGAAGGAGAGAUCUGUAGGACCAUGAAAAGAUGCACGGAAGGACCAAUCAACUCAGCUUGAACAGUUAAGAAAGGUGACACUGAGAAAGUAUCACCUAUUCUAGAAAAUGGACAGGAAUUAUUGAGGCUGCUCUGAUGCAAAUCAUCAGGGUGAGAAGGAUGUGACAAAAACACAUACCAAGAAAGACUGCAUUUGCGCCUCUUACCUGGGACAGAACAGAAGCCCACACCAUGCUUUCGCCACAAAAAGGAAAAACAGAAAGUAGAUGUCCGCACCAGCCUCUUGUUAGUCCAUGAAACAGGAAGGGAAAGGGGUAUAGGAGAAUGACUUCCUUCAUUUUAAAGCACAGUAAGCUUGUUCACAAAAAAAAAAAAUUGAAAGAAAAAAAUAAACAAAUAAGAAAAUCAAUGAGUGAAUAAAAAAGUACUAAAUAGAGUAAGUAAAAGGAAAGGAAAAUGAGAAAAAUGAAAUUUGGAGCUCUUAAGAUGUAAGAACGUAUUUGGCUAGAAAUUUCAUUGGCUGUGAUUCAGAUUUAUAAAUUGUUAAACAUACCUCAUUCCAAGCCUGUUUAGAUCAAAUAAAAUCAUGUAUGUGAAAGCAUAUUAUAAGCUAUACAUGUGAUAAAAAGAAAGUUAUUACUAUCCACUUUUACUAGUGUUACCAUAGGCUAAUUGCAUAAAUUUCAAAAAGAUGGAAAGAUCAUCUCAAAAUGUAAGUAUGUGUGGAGCACCUGAUGUGCCUGAUUUGCUACCAGGCAUAGAACAUUUUCAAAACACAGAACUUAGGAAGAAAGCCAAUAGGGGCAGUUGCUCUGUCAAGCAAGACUUUCCACCAGAUCAACAACUGAAUUCAGUCAGCCAAAGGAGCAGAAAUGUCACAGCUGAAAUUUUCAAACCAGUCAAUGACCUUUAAUAUUUACGAAUGGCUGUGCACCCAGGAAUUAACACACUUGAACUUUUUCCUGUUACGUCUAUAGCAGACAUGUACCCAGAUUAAGGCUUUGCCCAGCCAUCUGUUAGGGGAAAUAAAUGCCUGUAUGUUUUUUCCAUUCCCUUCUCUUCCAUUUCUCCUUUACUCUCUCAUUCCAAAAGGAGUCUGAAAUCCAUGGCUGAAUGCACAGAAUGCAACAGAACAGAAAUAAACAGAUGAAGAAAUCAGUAUAGGAUCAAAAUGAGGGUGAGAAAACCGGGUGACUCUAGGGAUAGAAAUGCAAGCCUCAUUGAUAGGUUGGUAUUUUAGUUCUGAGCAUCCCAGGGACCCAAUGAGGCAAUAUGAUUGUUCCAAGAUACACAAUAACCAUGAGAUAAAAGCCAACCGCAUUUUUAGAAGAAACAUUUCAAAUAUAAACAGUGUUGAAACAUUUUCAUUCAUCACUCUACACAACUGUUGGGCCAUUGCAAUAGAAAUUUCCAAGUUUCCCACCACAUAUUAGAGAAAAAUUCCAGUCUAAACUGAAUCUUAUGAAUUGUUUUUCCUUCUUUGCUGAGGUAAUGUUAAACAUAAGAUACAUUAAUAGAGAAUGACUCUCAUUUUGCUAAGGAAUAUGUUUGUUACAUCACUAAUUUGAA